UACGUAGGGUCCGAGCGUUGUCCGGAAUUACUGGGCGUAAAGAGCUCGUAGGCGGUUUGUCGCGUUGUUCGUGAAAACUCACAGCUCAACUGUGGGCGUGCGGGCGAUACGGGCAGACUAGAGUACUGCAGGGGAGACUGGAAUUUACGGUGUAGCGGUGAAAUGCGUAGAUAUCGUAAGGAAGACCAGUGGCGAAGGCGGGUCUCUGGACAGUGCCUGACGCUGAGGCACGAAGGUCAGGGGAGCAAACGGG
rnacentral:rRNA from 1 species